rnacentral:rRNA from 1 species
GAUGUCGGCUCGUCUCAUCCUGGAGCUGGAGUAGGUUCCAAGGGUUGGGCUGUUCGCCCAUUAAAGAGGCACGCGAGCUGGGUUCAGAACGUCGUGAGACAGUUCGGUCCCUAUCCACCGUGGGCGUAAGAAAUUUGAGAGGAUCUGUCCUUAGUACGAGAGGACCGGGAUGGACAGACCGCUGGUGUACGAGUUGUACUGCCAAGUGCACAGCUCGGUAGCUACGUCUGGAAAGGAUAAGUGCUGAAGGCAUCUAAGCACGAAACCAACCUCGAGAUAAGAUUUCUAUGAGAUUACUUGAAGAAAACAAGAUAGAUAGGUCAGAGGUGUAAAGAUAGUAAUAUCAAAGCUAACUGAUACUAAUAAAUCGAAAACUUGACU